GUUCAUUUUCAUCGUGGCGAUCGCUGGAAGAAGACAACAAGACGUCCCUUCGCUGCCUGUGGAGAACAUGCUACAUGCGACCUGCGAGCCUCACCUGGUGCGGGUAGGUUUGCGUUUGCUGCUGCCAGAGUCCUUCAGUUUUUGUACGAACAUUGUUACUGUGACGCUCUGAAUGUGAUGAAAUCACAUGGAGGCCACAAGAUAUCAUAUCAAGCAAAUUGUUGAGUAUCGAAUGGCCAAUUAUAGAGUGAAAAUUGAACGCUGACUCACUUCACCGGGAAUCGCUCUGAAAAUAAUUUAAAAA